UACGGGGGGGGUAAGCGUUGUUCGGAGUUACUGGGCGUAAAGGGUGUGUAGGCGGUUGUUUAAGUUUGGUGUGAAAUCUCCCGGCUCAACUGGGAGGGUGCGCCGAAUACUGAGCGACUAGAGUGCGGGAGAGGAAAGUGGAAUUCCUGGUGUAGCGGUGAAAUGCGUAGAUAUCAGGAGGAACACCGGUGGUGUAGACGGCUUUCUGGACCGUAACUGACGA
rnacentral:rRNA from 1 species